rnacentral:rRNA from 1 species
GACGGAGGGUGCUAGCGUUGUUCGGAAUCACUGGGCGUAAAGGGCGCGUAGGCGGCCUUGCAAGUCGGUUGGUGAAAGCCCGGGGCUCAACCCCGGAGGUGCGGCCGAGACUGCAGGGCUGGAGGCCGGAAGAGGAGGGUGGAAUACCCAGUGUAGAGGUGAAAUUCGUAGAUAUUGGGUGGAACACCGGUGGCGAAAGCGGCUCUCUGGGCCUUACCUGACGCUGAGGAGCGAAAGCGUGGGGAGCGAACAGG